rnacentral:rRNA from 1 species
AGUGAACGCUGGCGGUAGGCCUAACACAUGCAAGUCGAACGGCAGCACAGUAAGAGCUUGCUCUUACGGGUGGCGAGUGGCGGACGGGUGAGGAAUACAUCGGAAUCUACUUUUUCGUGGGGGAUAACGUAGGGAAACUUACGCUAAUACCGCAUACGACCUACGGGUGAAAGCAGGGGAUCUUCGGACCUUGCGCGAUUGAAUGAGCCGAUGUCGGAUUAGCUAGUUGGCGGGGUAAAGGCCCACCAAGGCGACGAUCCGUAGCUGGUCUGAGAGGAUGAUUAGCCACACUGGAACUGAGACACGGUCCAGACUCCUACGGGAGGCAGCAGUGGGGAAUAUUGGACAAUGGGCGCAAGCCUGAUCCAGCCAUACCGCGUGGGUGAAGUAGGCCUGCGGGUUGUAAAGACCUUUUGUUGGGAAAGAAAAGCAGCAGGUUAAUACCCCGCUGUUCUGACGGUACCCAAAGAAUAAGCACCGGCUAACUUCGU